AACGAACGCUGGCGGCAUGCCUAACACAUGCAAGUCGAACGAGACCUUCGGGUCUAGCGGCGCACGGGUGCGUAACGCGUGGGAACCUGCCCUUAGGUUCGGAAUAACUCCCCGAAAGGGGUGCUAAUACCGGAUAAUGUCUUCGGACCAAAGAUUUAUCGCCUUUGGAUGGGCCCGCGUUGGAUUAGCUAGUUGGUAGGGUAAAAGCCUACCAAGGCGACGAUCCAUAGCUGGUCUGAGAGGAUGAUCAGCCACACUGGGACUGAGACACGGCCCAGACUCCUACGGGAGGCAGCAGUGGGGAAUAUUGGACAAUGGGCGAAAGCCUGAUCCAGCAAUGCCGCGUGAGUGAUGAAGGCCUUAGGGUUGUAAAGCUCUUUUACCCGGGAUGAUAAUGACAGUACCAGGAGAAUAAGCUCCGGCUAACUCCGUG
rnacentral:rRNA from 1 species